UGGAAUGGUAGAGUCCUCCUCCAGGCUGCA
rnacentral:piRNA from 2 species